rnacentral:rRNA from 1 species
UAAUGUCUGGGAAACUGCCUGAUGGAGGGGGGUAACUACUGGAAACGGUAGCUAAUACCGCAUAAUGUCGCAAGACCAAAGUGGGGACCUUCGGGCCUCAUGCCAUCAGAUGUGCCCAGAUGGGAUUAGCUAGUAGGUGGGGUAACGGCUCACCUAGGCGACGAUCCCUAGCUGGUCUGAGAGGAUGACCAGCCACACUGGAACUGAGACACGGUCCAG